rnacentral:rRNA from 1 species
AUGAGCGACCUGGGCCUGCACGUGGAGGAGACGUUCCUCGAUGUGCCGGAGCCCGGCCUGCACGUCCACCUCGCCCGCCUCCUUCGCACCAAGGACGGCGCCGACGUGGCGUUCAAGGUUAGCGACGAGACGUUUGGUGCACACAGCUGCAUGCUCGCGGCACGGUCUCCGGUCUUCAAGGCGGAGCUCUCCGGCCACAAGGCUGACAUGUGCGUCAAGAUCGACGGUAUGGAUGCUCCGGUGUUCCAAGCUUUCCUCCACUUCAUAUACACGGACUCGUUGCCGGACAUGGCCGGGCAAGAGGACGUGCCUGCCGUGGUACGACAGUUAAGCGCGGCGGCGGACAGAUAUCAAGUGGCAAGGCUAAAGUUGGUCUGCGAGGACAAGCUAAACAAAACCACGGCGAUCGUGGAUCAGCGACAACGGCAUCACCGCCAACGGUGGUUCAUGGGGACGUGCUUGGAGUUCAUGAUUUUGCUUCACCCUCGACGCCAACCGCCACAACACUCUCUCCCGUCAACGACGACGCCGAGCUCCACGCCCUCCGCCUCGGCCAUCGUCGUCUCGGAGACGAGCGGGCACCACGUGCUCAAGAUCGAAGGCUACUCGUGGACGAAGAUGAUGCUCCAAAGGGGCCAGCAUGUCGCCUCCAGAGAGUUCCAGGUUGGAGGCCACACCUGGCGCAUGAAGUACUAUCCCAACGGCUGCGACCAGGGCAGCGCAGGCUACAUAUCCAUGCAGCUCGAAUGCACCAUGGUCGCCACGGACGUCGACGUCGUGCAUGCAAAGGUCAAGCUCAGCCUGCCCGGUCACGCCACGGAGUAUUUUCCGUUGUGUGCUUUCACCAAAGACGAGUGCGCUUUCACCAAGCACGACAGCUCCAUCAACUUUGACAGAUUCGUCAAGAGGUCCGAGCUGGAGAGCUCAAGCUAUCUCAGGGACGACUGCAUCAGCGUCCGGUGCGACCUCGCCGUCUUCGUGAACGAGGUGCGCGUGGAGCCGGCCGUGGUGGUGCCGCCGCCCGCCCUGCCCCGGCACCUUUCCCAGAUGCUUUCCUAUCAGGAGUGGAGCGACGUGUCAUUCAAGGUUGGCCGUGAGACAUUCGCGGCGCACCGCUGCAUCCUCGCUGCUCGGUCACCGGUCUUCAAGGCAGAGCUCGUCGUCCCCAUGAAGGAGAACAAGAUGAGGUGCGUGCACAUCGAGGACAUGGACGUGGCCGUGUUCCGGGCAUUGCUCCACUUCAUCUACACCGACGAGCUGCCCGCCACGACCAGGAAAGAAGAGACGGCCAUGGCCCAGCACCUGCUCGUCGCGGCGGACAGAUACGACAUGGAGAGGCUGAAGCUUGUCUGCCAGGACAGCUGUGCAGGCACCUCGACGCGGCCACCGCGGCGACAACCCUGGCAUUGGCCGAGCAGCACCAAUACCCACGGCUCAAGGAGGCCGUCUUCGUGUUCCUCUGCAGCUCGCCUGCCAACUUGA